AAUGUACUCCCUCCGUCCGGAAAUACUCGUCAUCAAAAUGAAUAAAAAGAAAUGUAUCUAGUUUUAGAUACAUUCCUUUUUGUCCAUUUUGAUAACAAGUAUUUUCGGACGGACGGAGUACAUA
rfam:Triticum aestivum genome assembly, contig: Triticum_aestivum_CS42_TGACv1_scaffold_224280_3B